rnacentral:rRNA from 3 species
AAAGGUUGACCUCGGAUCAGGUAGGAAUACCCGCUGAACUUAA